rnacentral:rRNA from 1 species
UACGUAGGGUGCGAGCGUUGUCCGGAAUUAUUGGGCGUAAAGAGCUUGUAGGCGGUCUGUCGCGUCUGCUGUGAAAAUCCGGGGCUCAACCCCGGACCUGCAGUGGGUACGGGCAGACUAGAGUGUGGUAGGGGAGACUGGAAUUCCUGGUGUAGCGGUGAAAUGCGCAGAUAUCAGGAGGAACACCGAUGGCGAAGGCAGGUCUCUGGGCCACUACUGACGCUGAGAAGCGAAAGCAUGGGGAGCGAACAGG